rnacentral:lncRNA from 1 species
UCAAGUUAAUUCAAAUAAGUUGUAAAUUACGGUACACACGUAUAUGCGCGUUUAUUUCGUACGAUACUCAUUUUUAUUUUGCAAUCAGUUUUACUAGCCAUAUACAGAUUUCCAAUGUAGUAUUUUUUUUGUCCUGUUCUGCAAUUUCCUCAUCCGUACGUAUAUUAUGUGUACAGACUUCUUAUUAUGACGGAGGAACGUCUUCUAACUCGAAAUAUCCUCGUUACCGAUGCAUCAUACUUGACUGUACGAGAAUCAGAAUUACUUUAUAUGCACAAUCAUUUCGAUCAGUCACGUCUUGAGGCGAUGAUAUGUGUUACGAUACCGUUCAUCUUGAAUUAGAUAAUACUGCGAAACACGUACAGCUCACAUACUCGAGCUGGAAUCUAAACAAAAAUAGGAGAUAUCUUGAGAUUAUUUUUUAACCACACGUCGCAUGUGGGUAAGCACAGG